UAUAUAUAUAUAUAUAUAAAGGAAGGGGAUGGGUUAAGGAAGAGAGAGGGAAGGGGGUGGGGGGGUGUGGAGGGAUGGGUUUGUUUUGGGGCGGGGUGGGAGUUUAAGAUUUUUUCAAGGAUAGAUCGACUUCUCAAGCUAAUUGGUGGAUUGGCACGGGACCCAUAAUAUAUUAGAUGACUAUUUGGAAUAUCUUCCUUGGAUUUGAGUCUCUUAGAAACCACAUGUGUUGCCCAUCAGCUCGUCUCAUAAAAUUGGCCAUAGAUUAUUGCCAAGACAAUUAAGUAAAAAAUAAAAGUUGCAAGGCUGUACCAGAUGGUACCUGGCUUAUCACAGUUGAAUCCAG
rnacentral:misc_RNA from 1 species